rnacentral:rRNA from 1 species
GAUGAACGCUGGCGGCGUGCCUAACACAUGCAAGUCGAGCGGCAGCGUCGGGUGCUUGCACCCUGUCGGCGAUCGGCGGACGGCUGAGUAACGCGUGGUAACGUUCCCCAAAGUGAGGAAUAACUGCUCGAAAGGGUAGCCAAUACAGCAUAGUAUCUUCGGAUCAAAGGAUUUAUCCGCUUAGGGAGCGGCUCGCGUCGGAUUAGGUAGUUGGUGAGGUAAUGGCUCACCAAGGCGACGAUCCGUAGCUGGUCUGAGAGGAUGACCAGCCAGACUGGAACUGAGACACGGUCCAGACUCCUACGGGAGGCAGCAGUGGGGAAUCUUCCACAAUGGGCGAAAGCCUGAUGGAGCAACGCCGCGUGAAGGACGAAGGCCUUCGGGUUGUAAACUGCUUUUAUAAGUGAAGAAUAUGACGGUAACUGAUGAAUAAGGAUCGGCUAACUACGUG